UACGGAGGGUGCAAGCGUUAUCCGGAUUUACUGGGUUUAAAGGGUGCGUAGGUGGGUAGGGAAGUCAGUGGUGAAAUCUUCGGGCUUAACCCGGAAACUGCCAUUGAUACUAUUUAUCUUGAAUACUUUGGAGGUAAGCGGAAUAUGUCAUGUAGCGGUGAAAUGCCUAGAUAUGACAUAGAACACCAAUUGCGAAGGCAGCUUACUACACAGUUAUUGACACUGAGGCACGAAAGCGUGGGGAUCAAACAGG
rnacentral:rRNA from 1 species